rnacentral:rRNA from 1 species
AAUUGUGGCCAUGCAAACUCAUCACAACCUGAUCUCAGCAGCUCUCAGAAGCUAAACAAGGCUGGGCCUGGUUAGUAUUUGGAUGGGAGACUGCUGGGAAUACCAGGUGCCACAGUGG